UGCUGGAGGUAUCAGAAGUGCGAAUGCUGACAUAAGUAACGAUAAAGCGGGUGAAAAGCCCGCUCGCCGGAAGACCAAGGGUUCCUGUCCAACGUUAAUCGGGGCAGGGUGAGUCGACCCCUAAGGCGAGGCCGAAAGGCGUAGUCGAUGGGAAACGGGUUAAUAUUCCCGUACUUGGUGUUACUGCGAAGGGGGGACGGAGAAGGCUAUGUUGGCCGGGCGACGGUUGUCCCGGUUUAAGCGUGUAGGUGKGUGUUCCAGGUAAAUCCGGUUCACUUUAACACUGAGGCGUGAUGACGAGGCACUACGGUGCUGAAGCAACAAAUGCCCUGCUUCCAGGAAAAGCCUCUAAGCAUCAGGUAACAUCAAAUCGUACCCCAAACCGACACAGGUGGUCAGGUAGAGAAUACCAAGGCGCUUGAGAGAACUCGGGUGAAGGAACUAGGCAAAAUGGUGCCGUAACUUCGGGAGAAGGCACGCUGACACGUAGGUGAAGUGAUUUACUCAYGGAGCUGAAGUCAGUCGAAGAUACCAGCUGGCUGCAACUGUUUAUUAAAAACACAGCACUGUGCAAACACGAAAGUGGACGUAUACGGUGUGACGCCUGCCCGGUGCCGGAAGGUUAAUUGAUGGGGUCAGCGCAAGCGAAGCUCCUGAUCGAAGCCCCGGUAAACGGCGGCCGUAACUAUAACGGUCCUAAGGUAGCGAAAUUCCUUGUCGGGUAAGUUCCGACCUGCACGAAUGGCGUAAUGAUGGCCAGGCUGUCUCCACCCGAGACUCAGUGAAAUUGAACUCGCUGUGAAGAUGCAGUGUACCCGCGGCAAGACGGAAAGACCCCGUGAACCUUUACUAUAGCUUGACACUGAACAUUGAGCCUUGAUGUGUAGGAUAGGUGGGAGGCUUUGAAGYGUGGACGCCAGUCUGCRUGGAGCCGACCUUGAAAUACCACCCUUUAAUGUUUGAUGUUCUAACGUGGACCCGUWAYCCGGGUUGCGGACAGUGUCUGGUGGGUAGUUUGACUGGGGCGGUCUCCUCCUAAAGAGUAACGGAGGAGCACGAAGGUUGGCUAAUCCUGGUCGGACAUCAGGAGGUUAGUGCAAUGGCAUAAGCCAGCUUGACUGCGAGCGUGACGGCGCGAGCAGGUGCGAAAGCAGGUCAUAGUGAUCCGGUGGUUCUGAAUGGAAGGGCCAUCGCUCAACGGAUAAAAGGUACUCCGGGGAUAACAGGCUGAUACCGCCCAAGAGUUCAUAUCGACGGCGGUGUUUGGCACCUCGAUGUCGGCUCAUCACAUCCUGGGGCUGAAGUAGGUCCCAAGGGUAUGGCUGUUCGCCAUUUAAAGUGGUACGCGAGCUGGGUUUAGAACGUCGUGAGACAGUUCGGUCCCUGAGACUUARAGUCUCCUGAAGGAACGUUGAAGACGACGACGUUGAUAGGCCGGGUGUGUAAGCGCAGCGAUGCGUUGAGCUAACCGGUACUAAUGAACCGUGAGGCUUAACCUU
rnacentral:rRNA from 1 species